UAAUUUUAAAAUGUUUCAAAUCUUUCUUCUAGACGAGUGCACAAACUCGCCCGAUUGCGACGAGUACUUGACUUGGCCCGACGAAUCGGUGUGUAGUGUGGAGUACUUCAAUGAAGCGUGCGCCCUCAAGUGCCAGGCAGACUGUGAGAACGCCAAAUAGGACUGCGACAACGACAAAAAAUCGACAUUCGAGUAGAUACCUGUGACGUAUAUGUCUACAUGAGAAUUUAAUGAGAAUAUACCAUACUAUGCUUUUCGUAUUAUACUAUACUUAUUUAUAAUAUAAGCUACUAUAAUAUUUUAUACUAUAGGCUACUAAUACUAUAGUACGGCAUUGUAUGCUAUAGGUUAAUAUAUACCGACUACUAUAGAUUCCAGGCAUUUGAUUAGUUAAAUCUGGGCUGUAGUUCCAGCCAUGUCCUCUAAUGCCUACAAUCUAUGUAGUAGUAUAGCCUAUAAAAUAAAUGUUUAUUGGGUUUUGAUCGGGUCAUAGUUCAAAAUGUAGCCCUUUGUAGUCUGGAGACUGUACUGUACCUCGACCUCGUCUAGGGACAAAGUACAGCCUCGGAUCACCUCGGGCUAUAUAUUGAACUAUGCCCCCUCAACCCAGUAAAUAUUCAUAUACUGUACUACAUUAUAGUAUUGAAUUAUAAUAGACCAUAAUAUAAUUGUAUACUAUAUUACUUUUGUUUAGUUUAUCAUUCCUUUUUGUUGCACGGUGAAGUUAUUGCACAGAAAUGUAACAUGAGCGUCGUUUCAGGCGCAUUCGAUCACGGCCAACUUUAUGAAAAUAGUAACUUAAGUAUAAUAAUAACUUCAGUUAAAAUAAUAUUGAUAGCUAUGCUAUGCUGUUCCAGUUUCACAAAAAAAAGUAAUUUCAUAGUAGACCUACAAGUUGUCUCGACUUGAAACGGAUUAUUCUACACCAUCAUCAGGAAGAUACUAAAUAAUGCUAUAAAAACAUAGCCAGAUCUGGAAAAAUUAAUACCGUAUCUUUGGUAGAUUAUAAACCUUCCAGUUUAGAUAACUUACCAUCGUUUCAUGUUGUAAACUCUAAUCUUAUAGUUAAAGUAUAUACACAGUACUUUUAAUAUGAAAACAGGCAUCAAAUAAUACAAAAUACAAAUAUUAAAAUUAAUCAAUUCAUCAUGAAUAAUUGAGCACUGAUACAAUUAUAGAGAAUGUCUUGACAUACUGUACAAAUAAAAUGCAAACUGGUAAAACAG